CCAGCCACCGCGGUUACACGAUUAACCCUAGCUAAUAGAGAUCGGCGUAAAGGGUGUUUAAGAUCUAACAUAAUAAAGCUAAACUCCAUCUAAACUGUAAAACUCUAGCCAACGUAAAAUAAACUACGAAAGUGGCUUUAAAGCUUCUGAACACACAAUAGCCAAGACCCAAACUGGGAUUAGACACCCUACUAUGCUUGGCCCUAAACCUCAGUAGUUAGAUAACAAAACUACUCGCCAGAAUACUACAAGCAACAGCUUGAAACUCAAAGGACUUGACGGUGCUUUACAUCCCCCUAGAGGAGCCUGUUCUAUAAUCGAUAAACCCCGAUCCACCCCACCCUCUCUUGCUCAGCCUAUAUACCGCCAUCUUCAGCAAACCCUAAUGAAGGUCACAAAGUGAGCGCAAACGCCGCCACCGCCGCGAAUACGUUAGGUC
rnacentral:rRNA from 1 species